AGUUUUAAAAGAACCAUAUUUAAAAAACAAAACAAAACACAGAGAAGGUCAGCAUGUCCUCUGUGCAAGGAUGACGUGCAAAUUUGUGAAAUGUUAAAAAACAAC